GGGGAUAGCCCAGAGAAAUUUGAAUUAAUAACCCCGUAGUAUUGUUGGGUGGCAUCACCGGACAAUUAAAGAUUUAUUGCCAGAAGAUGGGUGUGCGUCUGAUUAGGUAGUUGGUCGGGGUAACGGCCCACCAAGCCAACGAUCAGUAACUGGUGUGAGAGCACGACCAGUCACACGGGCACUGAGACACGGGCCCGACUCCUACGGGAGGCAGCAGUAAGGAAUAUUGGUCAAUGGACGCAAGUCUGAACCAGCCAUGCCGCGUGGAGGAUGAAGGUCCUCUGGAUUGUAAACUUCUUUUAUNUGGGAAGAAAUGCAUUUUUUCUAAAGUGUUGACGGUACCAGAUGAAUAAGCACCGGCUAAUUCCGUGCCAGCAGCCGCNGUAAUACGGAGGGUGCAAGCGUUAUCCGGAUUCACUGGGUUUAAAGGGUGCGUAGGUGGGCAGUUAAGUCAGUGGUGAAAUNUCCGGGCUUAACCCGGAAACUGCCAUUGAUACUNUCUNUCUUGAAUGUCGUGGAGGUAAGCGGAAUAUGUCAUGUAGCGGUGAGAUGCUUAGAUAUGACAUAGAACACCAAUUGCGAAGGCAGCUUACUACACGAAUAUUGACACUGAGGCACGAAAGCGUGGGGAUCAAACAGGAUUAGAUACCCUGGUNGUCCACGCCCUAAACGAUGGAUACUCGACAUACGCGAUACACAGUGUGUGUCUGAGCGAAAGCAUUAAGU
rnacentral:rRNA from 1 species